ACCUGGUCUCUAGGCAGUGUGCUGCACCUCAAAGCAUCCCACAGAGAUUAGCAAUUUGCAAUGUGAAAGGGCAGCGUAGUGUCCCUUCUGCCUUUAUUUCGGUAAAUCCGCCAACCUUUAUCGAAGGGGAUUCUUGUUAAUGUCUGAGUAAAUUUCCCCACCUCCACCCUGCAACAUCUUUAAGCUCAUAUCUUGCUUUGAUGGCUGGCCACUUCAGGUUUCCUUACUAGAUUAGGGUCCCACUAACUUUUAUGACCCCACAGGGCCUGGUUCACACUCUUUGUGACAGUUGGGGCAGAGGGUCAGUGUGGGAGGCCAGAUCUGCCUGGGAAGUAGUAGGAACAAAGGGGCUCUUAACUCCAGAUACCUGGGAGAGGCUAGAAGGCACAGUAGGUGGGAAAGGAAGGAGAAGGCCAGCCACUGCCAUCACAAAUGUAUAUAAAGGAUUAGCCCAGGAGACUUCAACACAGGGCCCUGAGAAAGGAGACGACCGAUUCCCUUUCUAGUUCACCGCCCUCCCCCUGAGCCCCACUCUUCUCCCUGCCCCCCAAUUCCCAACAUUAGGGCCAUUCACAGGGCCCCCUCACCAGCUGCCCUCCCUUCACAGGCUUCACCCAGCUCCUUCCUCUGGAAAAGGCCCAAGAGGAGGACCCAGCUGCAGUGCAAGAUGUGGAUGGAGACCUCUGGGGGAGGGGAGGCAGGGGAGUCUGACUCCAAGCUUCUUGCAUCAGCCUCAGAUGAUGAAACCCUGUGAGACAUUUUAGCAAGGGCGUAGGUUAGGGUCUUGAAGAUCCACUUCCUAGCCCCAUCAGUCCCCAACCCGGUCUGUGACUGCUCCACUCAGGAGCCCAGAUCCCUGUUUGGAAUAAUUUUAAGGGGAAAUCUGAAAGUUAGGUGGGUUCAUUCCUUCUACCUUAAUGGCAAACAAGAGGAGAGCCUCGGUCCCCAGAGUGGUAGUGGUGGUGUGUAAGGGGUCCUGGUGAGAUCCUACAUAUUGUAUUAAUAUUAGCAUCUGAAACUGGAAGCCAGCGAAUCACAUCCCCUAGAGCAAGAGCCAAUGUUAAGGAAUUGAAACCCUCCCUGUCUUCUAGCAAAAAUAGGACGUGGGGAGCUAAGGAAUGCUCACGAACCACCUACACAAGUAGGUGCUUUGUGGUCAUACUAUCGUUUAUCCUCCUGACCUUCUUCUGAGCUAGGUUCUAGUGUUCUUUUUUUUUUUCAAUUUCGCGAGUGGGGAAAUAGUCUCAUAAGCAACACACAGAGGAUUUGGACUCGUGCAUGUGGUUCUAGGCUUCCCAACCCUUCUAAGGGUGGGCCUGUGGGGAAGGGAGCUGGACUGGCUUUCCCUGAGGACGCCCAAGCAACAGGUUUGGCUCUCCUGGAUGAUAACGUGUUGUUACCAAAAAUGUCCCCCCUCCCUCCCAUCCCUGGACUUCUUUGGUACUUAACUUUGGUUUCCUGUUUGCCAUAGGUCUGCUCAGACUUCCAACAGUAGGUGAUCCUUCUGACUCAGAGUUCCACUGCUGGGGAAUGCCACCAGAGCGUUCCUCUCUGCAUCCCCUGACAGCCAGGGUGCAGCUGGGUUAAGCAAGGAGGCACAGGGCUGUGGACCCAGGCUCCUAGCUUUUAGGAUUUCAAGGUUCCAGUUGCCCCAGCCACUCCAGCUGCUCCCUCUGGGCCACCAAGCAGCAGCUGGGUGGCUGAGGUCCAGACCCUGAUUCCUAGGCUCUGCUGUUCAGGAGUGAGGGACUAACUGGGCUGAGGUCAUGUGGGGAUCCAAGGUGAGAAAGAGGCUUAAGCUGCCAUUUGGAGAGAUUUAGAUUAGUUCAGAGAAAGACAAGACAAUCUCUGCCCCCUUUUGAGCUCUAUCCAGCAUCAGCAACAACUGCUUCUUUCCUGUGCUCCCAACUCUUCUCAGCUGCUCUCCUUCCAGAACCCUGACGUUUCUCAGGAUCAGCUACUGCAUGCAACCCUCAACGCUGCACGUACAGACGCACAGACACACAGACGCACAGACACACACACACACACACACACACACACACACACACACGGGGCGGGGUGGGGGGGAGUGAGCUCCUAACUGGACUAGAAUAUAAGUCCCAACUCCUAUUCUGAGCUGAGUUCCUUCCCCCAGGCAUCUUGGGUCCUCCAUCAUUUUUCCUGACAGGAGCUGUGGGCGUCUGGGCAGAUGGGAACCUAGGGGAGGUGUGGGGAGCCCCCUCCAAAUCAGGAAGCUCCCACGCUCCCGUAGUUAAAAUACUCCAGCAGUGACUUAGGGCAGCCAUCUGGUCUGAGCUGUCUUAGACACAUUCCACUUUUUUAACAGCAGUGCUAUGGGAACAAAUAAAAACACGGAAGGGAUCCCCAUAGGUACCAAGAGUGUCCCCAGAGGAGGUCUGAACUUGUAUCUUCUUUAUGUGUCCCCACCUCCUUCAGGGACAGCACUGUAAAAUCUAAAUAAGCCUUAGUGUGAAUGGUGGUGGUGGACAGAGAGCUCAAGAGCUUGAGUCCUAACCCCAGCCACAUCCCAGCAUCUGUGCUUGGUUCCGUGGGAGCAGGACUCAACCUAUCCUCGAACGCUGUCCUUUAGCAGAUGUCCAGCUCCAGACUCCAAUGUCCAGCCACAGGCAGGGCCCAGUCCUUCCCACCAACAAGAAGCUCAGGACCCCAGAAAAGAUCCACUGGGCUGCAGACUCAGGAGAUCUGAGUGCAGACGUGAACCGAGCCUCACUUCCUGUGUUUAGAAGGAGACAGAGUCGGCCACAGAGGAAACCAGAGCCUGUUAUAAAUAGCAAGGAAGGCAGAGAGCUGCCCAUGGAUUUCAAACAUCCAUCACUCUUAAAACAAACUCUAUUUUUGGCUUCAAAUAAUAAUUAGGAUUUAAUUAAUGCUCUAUGUAACCUCAAACAUCUCUCUCUCUCUCUCUCUCUCUCUCUCUCUAGCAAUGCCUUCCCAUGAAGCAUAGGCUAGCAUUGAAAGUCAUGAUUCUCCUGCUUCAGCCUCUGGAGCACCAGGGUUACGUUCAUACUCCAUUGUACAUGCUUCCUUUUUGUUUGAUUGAUUUUACUUUUUCGAAACGGGGUUUCUCUGUCCCACCCUGACUACCCUGAAAGUCACUCUGUAGACCAGCUGGGGUCGAACUCAAAGAUCUACCUGCCUCUGCCUCCUGAAUCCCGCGGCUAAAAGCACGCACCACCGCCUCCCUCCUGACUGUACGUGAUUCUUAAACACGGUGAGUCUACCCACCCAUCUCCUUCGCUGUGCCUGCUAACAGACAGUAUUGAUGUGGCAGUUCCCGUGGUCACCAGUCUCCAUGCCAACAUCUAUGCUCAGAAAGAACCCCCAGGUCACAUCCAGCCAUCAUGUUUUCAGAUGAAGAAACAGAGGUCCAGACAGGUAGAGAGACACAAAGUCGCAUAGGACGGUAACGCAGGGGCUGAGCUGCAAGCCUGCAAGUUUGGUUGCUGUCCCCUGACAGCACGGUAAGGACCCCAAGGCUAAACAUCUGAAAUCAGGCUGUCGUGAGUUUACAGUCCUGACAAAACUUUGGUCUGAGUGAAAUAACGAAAGACAGCCCAGAGGCUGAGUUGUGAUCUUCUGAGUCACGGAGGUCUGGGCUCCCGUCCAGAGCUCACAUCCACUUGAUGAGCUGUGUAACCCCGAGCCGGUGAUGUAACCAUGCCCAGCCUCAGCUCCCACAUCUCAAAAGGAGAGGGAUCACGUCCUCAUCUCGGGACCGUUGUGGAGUGGCAAUGAGCGGACCGGCGUCGAGAAUCCCACCCAGCACUCGCCUCAAAAUAGAUGUCAGUCUUUCACAUUGUGGGCAGGUCCUCCAUCUUUUCUCCAACAGACCCCCCACCUCUGUCUGGACAGAGGGGUGGGUCUAUCAAAAGUGAAAACCAGGAUGGAGAGGGACUCUCAGGAGGGAGCAAGAACAAGGCUGAGAGGGGACAGGCUGUGAGGAUGAGGUGUCGUUAGUGUUGGGCUGGGGUGGAGUUCAAUGGUAGAAGGCUUGCCCUGUAUGCAUGGAGGCCUAGGUCCGUGAUGUAACCAGUAAGUGUGAGGUGUGCUGGGUGGAUAGGCAGAUCUGCAGGAACUUAUCUACCCUCUGCUGAUGACAUGGCAGCACCUUGGGAGCCACAGUGCUUUCCAGGAAGAAGCCUUAGCCUUAUCCACCCUUCCCUACACAGGUAAUCUGGGCUGCCUCCCCAGGGGCUGGCCCCCUGAAAAGGGAGAGUUCUCACCCUGUCACUGUUACACAGUUCUCAUCCAACCCUCACAGUCAUCUCUGAGGUAUACAACUAUCAUGCCUGUUUUUCAAAAGGGGAAGUGGGUUCAAAGGUCAAUUGGCUAGGGUAGUAGUCAUUAGUCCUGUUUGUGUAUUUCCCGUACUCUGACUUCCAGCACAGGGCAGGCCUACAUGUCCUUACUUCUCUGAUAGUGAGUGGUCAUGUGACUUUAACCAAUAAAAAGUGACGCUCUAGGAGCCACUGCUGUUGGCACACCUGUGCUGUUCACGGACCAUACAUGAGAAGUAAACUUUUUUAUUUAUUUUUUUUUCCAGAGCUGGGGACCGAACCCAGGGCCUUGCCCUUGCUAGGCAAGCGCUCUACCACUGAGCUAAAUCCCCAACCCCAGAAGUGAUCAGUUGCUGAAUUUGCAGGCUGCGUGUGGUCCCGGCAUAGCCUAACUUACUCUGAUACGGUUAGUAAAAGCAGACCCAGAGUCUGGAGCUCUCCCAUCUGUAAAGUGAUUUCCAGGCCCCUAGCCUGCAAACAGGUGGAAGCCCCUUUUGGAUGUUGAGCCUACUUAGAGGUAGAUGGAAGAAAACAAAAGUCUUUCGCCCUCUCUCUGUAGGCAUCCCUAUUUGACUAAGAUUUUCCUAAAUUACUUGCUCCCUGGAUUGUGGUGACUAAAGAAAUACCCCCGGGGGUCCCAUAGUUAAACUGGCCGUGCUGUUCUGCAACCAUGGAGUCUCUAGGAACCACCGUGAUGUCACUGGAAAACACUAAGGGCCUUCCUCUGCCUCAGCCUGUCAUCUCAGUAGGAACUAUUCCCAGGUUGGAUCUCAGGAUACAACUGCAUUUGUCUCUAGCUCAAAGAUUGGCCCUGUUCAGGUCACUCAUUCCCUUGGGACUUAGUUACUCCUCAGUGAAACGGAGCCACAGAAAAGGGUUAUGGUGGCUGCUCAGAUGUCACAGGACUAACCCAUUCUAGAGCAUAAAGAGACUUCAGAGGCACAAGCAAGAUAUUAACGGUCACUCUUCCCGAAUGUUGUGCUGAGCGUGUGGUAAAUGUUUGAGCUUCAUGCUGUAGUGCAAUGCUCGCUGCUCUGGGAAGGAGGAAACAUCAUCUCCACAAAACAAACUGGUAAGGUCAUGCUACAGCUCACAGAGCAGGAUUCAAACCCAAGCAAGCAGACGGUGACUUCAUCUUGUGUUGAACUGCCGUGAAUGGAGAGACUGUGGAUUUGCCCACAGAUGAUGAAAGACUUCUCUUUUCUUCCGUCCACCUCUAACUAGCCCAAAAUCUCAGCCGAUGGGCUAGGAAAGUGAGCGGAGCACCCUAGGAAGUUGCCUGGUUUGGGUGUGUAUGGGAGUGAUGACAACGGCUUUGGCUAUAGGCCCAGAUGCUCACUGCCGGGAAUGGGUACGGAGACAGGAAUGGGUACGACUACUCACAAUGGAAUCCUAUACAGCAAGGAAAAGGGAUGCGCUCUGGGUACAUUAGUGAUGCAGACUAGAUGAAUCUCAGCUGUACUCAGUGGUAGAAGCAGACCAAACAGCACAUGCUGUCUAACCCCACUGAUAGGAGCAGCCUAGAAAAGUAGAGUGACCCUAAAGUGUCAGAAAACAGAUCAGUGGUUGCCUGGCAAAAGGAGGGGUGUAAGAGUGGUAGGGGGCCUGAAGAGGUCAGGAAGGGCUGCAAAGGGGCACAGAGGAAGUCUUCCUGGUCAUCAGUAUAUACGUCAGGCAAAGAUGGCCUGACAGGCACUUGCGUUUCUCAAGGCAAAGCAAACCAUUGUAUGUGUUGGGUAUGUGCAGUUCUGCAAUUUACUGUUAAUUUUACCUCAACAAUGCUGCUUUGUGUGUGGAGGCCAAAGGUCAUCAUCUGGUAUCUUCCUUAAUUGCUCUCAGGGUCUCUCCCUGAACUAAGGUCACCUAUUCGGCCAGGUUGUUGGCCAGUGAGCCACAGGGACCCACCUGUGUGCACCAUCCCCCUUUCCUUCCCACCCCAGGAUUAAACACUGCGCCAUACAUGGGUGCUGGGCUCUAAACUCAAAUCCUCAUGCCUAUGUAAGCACUUUACCAACGAAGCCAUCUCUCCAGCCUGAUGGAGCUAUUUUUAAAAGGUAGCUUACUUCAGCUUCCCCCUUUGCACAGAGGUGCCUAUUGGAUGACUUACCUAGAGUCACAGAGACAGAGGACAGCAGGUCUCAACCCCUGAGGAACUCUUUCCCCUGCACCACAUGGUAUAGGGGCUCAAAGGGAGCCUGUGACAAGGAAUUAGGAAACACAGACGGAGAAUGUGGCAUAGUACAGGAGAGGACUCCCGAGAGGAGCAUCAAGAGGAAGUCAGUCAGGGCAAGCCAGGAGAGGGAAGAGGAAAAAGAAGGGGAGGAGGGAGGUCACGAAGGCCCCAGGAGGAGCAAGCCCCCCCUCUGUUGACAGCACUUUCCCCUCUGAUGAAGUUCACAAAGGCUACUCCUGUCCUUGAGUUAUUGAUUUUCAGUCUCCCUGGAUGCAUCAUUUCCUCAGCUCUGGGAGACAUUUGCCUGAGCCAGGUCCUACCCAGCAAAUUUCCAGCAAAGAAGCUCUUAACACUUUACGUUCUAGGCUAACCUUGAUGGCGAAAGAUCUCCAGAAUCCCAGCCUCUCUGAGGAUUUUACUGGACAGUGGUAGAUACCCCAAGUAGUGUGUGCUGGACCUCAUGGCCCAUGUGGCCCAUGCUAGGAAUAGUUCAAGGGCCCUUUUGACUCUGACAGUCGAGUUGGCCUGAAGUGACAUCACUCUUAAAAAGUUUGCCUGUAUCCUUUCUAAGCUCCAUGUUUUCUGAAACGAAGCAGUAGACAGAAAGAACACAUUGCCUUAAGCGGAAUCCGUGUGAGGAAGGCCAAGGGAGGAGGCGGAGAAGCCUGAAAAGACCUUUUUUUCUCCUCGCUGUAAUCUCCAAAGUAACUUGGAGGACCCAAAAAGAAGUCUCAGACUGGGUGGAGCAAAGAGUCAUAACCAAAAUUAGAAGAAGCCCAGAGGGCCAGUGGCAGUGGUACAUGCCUUUAAUCCCAACACUUGGGAGGCAGAGGCAGGAGUGACUCUGAGUUCAAGGCCAGCCUGGACUAUAGGGUCAGUUUGAAGACAGCCAGGGCUUUUUUUUUUUUGUCUUAAAAAACAACAACAAAAAAAACCCAAUAAAUAAAUAAAUAAAUAAAUAAAUAAAUAAAAACAAAACAAAAAAAAAAAAAAAAAAGAAAAGGCCCAGAGGAAGAAGCCCAUGCCCUGUGUUACAGCUCCGUACUCCUGAGCUAAUUGAUGUGGCUCCCUUGUGCUAGAGGUGGGUGAUGGGGGCAGGGCGUGGCUACCAUCAAAUCAUAUGUCAUCAGUCUGAAUGAAUCUUUGCCUUCUUCCCACAUAGAAGAGACUUCGAGAGGGUCAUCCCUGCAAUCCUGCAAUGGAGACUGAGGGAAAGGAAGUUAUGGGUUUGAAAACUGGGAAGUGAGGCAUAGCUAGACCUUGUCUCAAAAAUCAAAUCAAAUCAAAACAAUCAGAAUGCUUUGCACAGGACGUCCAUCUCGGAGAGCCGGCAUCCAGAUCCAGACGUGAAACUCAGCUCCUUCUCCAGCACCGUGCCUGCCUGGAUGCUGCCAUGCUUCCUGCCAUGACGUUAACAAACCGAACCUCUGAAACCCGCCAGCCAGCCCCAGUUAAAUGUUGUCUGUCCUUAUAA